GCAAGUUUUUCUUGUGCAGGUGUUAUACCUGUCAUCAUCAACAAUCUCAGGAUCAUCGCUUGGAUAAAAUGCAUCCCAUCGCAUUGGGAAAUUAUCUACCGAUGUCAAUGUCUUCGUGUACGGCUGUACGUCCAUGUGAAUGUGGGUUCGCGAGGACACCCUUUAUACCCUAUCCCGUCUGGUGGAAUUCAACUCUUCAUCGGGUGGAUGGAGCAACUGUAAAUGCCUGGCUGUAUUUCCCAGUCAUAAAGGACGACGCUGCUGAGCUGCUGGAUCGAUCUCAUUAUGUAUACCCGGUAACCCCCUCCGCUCCCCUCUUUCGGCAGUAAAUGAAAUACACCGAUUGGAAAAGCGGAUGGGCUCCCGCGCGCUCCGCCAAACGACUUUUCUCUGCUCAAAAUUUAAUGAGGUUUUUGCGGAUUCUGAUUGAAUGCCAGCAUUUCAAUGGAUCCUGCUGCUGCUGCUGCGAGUCAUUUUUGUUUACGUGGCGUUUGCCGUCAUCGAUGAUGGCCGCCGGAAGCUGAUUGAAAGCGAAAGAAAAUCCACGAAGAACAUUUGGAACUGUUUCGUAUUGUAUUCCCGUUGAAUGAUGUGUUAAAUACCAGCGUUCAUGGCGCCACGUGCCUAUUGUACAUGAAAGGCGACGUAAACAGUUUUGUCCGAGACCGAGGACGAGACUUACGUCAAUUUGCAACUUGGACAAGCACAACAAAAUCACAGUGAAACUCCGUCUCCAGCAAGUGUGUGUCGCUAUUAACAUUAAUUCGGUUGACAACGAUUGAUACCACAUUUUCCAGACAGACAGCUAAAAAAGCUUGUUUAUUGAUUUGAAAGAAAAAAACCGCCGAGUACGCUUGCUAUAGCUAUUCACUUUCAUCAGUCGUCGCUAGAUGGAAGGUAGCACAUUUGGAGGGCGGAGUCAUGGCGGUCAUGGCGGAGUGCAAUGUGCAAGAAGAACAGAUUUUCUGAUGGCUAUAAUUUGCUCUAAACAAUGGAAUGUACAUGGCUCAUUUUAUCGUCACUCUGGGAGGUGGACAUGUUACAAAAUUUUUCCAUAAGAAUGCAGUCAACUAUUAUCAAAUCAAUUACUAGAUGACCUUUUUAUAUCUUCCUUUUUACUCCUAUCAUUUGGGUUUAUUGUGACGAACUGACAGGUGGCUGGUGGCAGAAAGCAUUUGACAGUAGCUAUCCAAAAUAAGCAACUUGUGUGUGUUACGUUUCGGAUGGUUUCAAUUCGGACUAGCCCGGUGCAUCAGUGGGCCUUCUUCAGACAAACCCAGAUUAGUUUCAUUAAUCAUAUUUCGAAUUUUAGAAAAUGGCUAAUUGCUGUUUUUUUUUUUGUUUUUUUGAACAUAUGUUAGUGGUGGACCGGAAAUUCCAGAAUCGGAUGAGAUAUCUCGCGGUGACAGUAGAACAGGAUGCAUAUUCGGAAGUCAGCACAUCAAGACUCGGAAACGUUUGUCGGUUCUUUCGUUGCCGACGUCGGCUGCCUUGACUGAGUUGCUACCUGGACGCUUCCCGACUCUUCACUCGCUUCGACGACGACAAAGAUCCUAUCGUAAGUCUCGAUAAGCUAGAGCAGGGAUCCUUUUCAAUUCAUUUUACUGUUUUAAAUUUUAAACAUUUGUUGUUUACAACGCUACGAAGGCUUAGAUUGUUUUCAGCGUUGCAAUACUGAAAAAAAUCAUCGAAGAAUUCUUCGUCAACGUAAAUUUUGUUAUGCCAAAAACACCUCUGGAAGGCGUUGAGCGAAGAUGAAAUCAAAGUAAAAUGCAGUUGGUUCGGUGUCCUCCACUUCCAAAUCAGUCGCUCUUCUCAGAGCCUGAUUGAAGUGAUUGACGAAUUUGGUAUAAAUUGGUCCACCCAUCAAAGUGUGAAGUUCCCUUGAUGGAUUUAGUCGUAAUAAUUUUUUAAAAAUUGUCAUUGUUGUUGGCACCAUGUUGUUGGCUGAGACAUGACAUCUUGUGGCCAGGUUUGUCUUCAGUUGUUUGGCGUAGGCUAGCCCUUUAAGGCCCCCUACCUUCUUGGUUCAUCACUUCAUUGUUAGUUGAAUCAUGAGGUUCUGAGAGAAAGUGUCGCCAUUUUUAGACCUUUCUAUUUUUCAAGUUCUGAAUUUUAAUGUUGGCUUAAUUAGUUGGAUUGCCACUUGUGAGGCAUUUCUUAGAAUGUGAUGGGUUUUAGUUGGUUCGGGUUGGCGGUUCGUGAGCUUGCUAUUAUUCUUGACUAAUUUUUAUGCUGAAAGACUUGGAAACCAUGCUGUCGCCCACGUCGAGAAGCUGAGUAACAUUCUGCUUUUACAAUGGCACCUCUUAAUAAAAGGAACUUAAGCCAUCCAGUCUAGGGCUUCCAUCAAAUCGUGCAGGCUGCAUGGAAGUCGGAUUUACCUUUGCUGUGAACAUCAUGAACACAUACACUAUUUGAAGGUUCAUGUUUACGUAGCAGUGAUGUUGCUGUCCAAUGUGGCGUGUUGUUGCAGCCUAUGGUGGUGAAAGAUAUCUGCAUCAAGUUGCUGUUCCUUGUGCAUCCAAGGUGCUGGUUUUGUGCUACAGAAGUGACAUCCAAUAUUGUGUUUAAUUGCUAUUUGUGUCUUUGCAGUUAACCUUUAUAUAUUGAGAAGGAACAAAAAAAAAAUAGUAGAUGGGGAGAUUUAUGUCAACCAAAUAAUAAACAUGUCCAGGAUGGGGGAAUGAGGAGGAAGUUGGGGUGGGGUAUUUGGUUAUGAUUUACUAAAAGAAGUGAGGUAUAUUUUUAAUUAAUGAAUAUGCAGUACUUGGUGAUAAAAUAUGUUAUUAACCUAUACAUUACUGUCAACCUAUACCUUCCCCACUUCCACUUACCCAUUCCCCAAACCCCAUAAGCACCAAAAUCAAAUCCCACAUCCACUCACAUCUAUUCCUAAAACCCCACAAUCUCCAACAUCAAAUUCACACAUUUAAAUAUCUGUAAUCAAAAUAAAAACCAUCAAAUAAACAUGGUGUAAACUAUA